ACGACCUCUCUCUAUACCUCUCUCCCAAUCUCACGACUCUCUCCUUCUAGGUCAAAACUAGGUUAUGCAUCUUUUAGCCAUAGCCUCUUUGUCUCCUGGCCGCCAUCGCUGCAUCACCUGAUUCCGUCCGCCGCCUCGACCUUCUGCCUCCGCAAACGCCUCCUCGGUGAAACCUAGCUGCAGGUCCGGCCGUCGCCUCGACCUUCUGCCUCCGCAAACGCCUCCUCGGUGAAGCCUAGCUGCAGCUCCAUCCUCUGGUGCGGAGAUCCGCCGGUCAUUGGGAUCGUCUUCGUGGUUCCUCCGACCUGCAGCGCGCCCCUCCGUGUGGUGUCCAUGUCUCCUGAGUCACCCCUCGCUGGUACUGGCGUCCAGGAGACUGGUCAAUCUGGAUCUGCAGCGUGGUUGAGUCUACAAGAGAAGGGCUGCUCACGCAGUUGGAGUAUUGGUGUGGGUGCAGAGGCAUAAAAAGGAUCGUGAUGUAAAACGAUUGCAAGAGAAGGGGCAAACCUAGCUGGCCGAUAGAUACUAGCCUGAUACUUUUUAUUGGGACAUUAUAUAUUUGUUUCUCGGCUGAUUCUCGGACUGGAUCAAAAGGAAUUUUGUUUUUCGCACAAACACAAUAAUUGUUGAGGUAGAAUUUGUGUUGGCGCAGGUCCCAAUGAUGCGUCGCUUUGACGAGAGUUGUUUCCUCCAUGAAGAUGUACGGACGUGCAGGCUUCAACUAAUGGCUUUUCCGGCGAUACAAAGUACCCGUACUAAAGCACAUUGAUUGAUUAUUGGAGAAUGUACGUAAGAAGGAUGGCUAUAGCCUAAGCAACCUGCUGGAUCGGUCAAACUUAAGGACGUUGAUUGAAUCCUGGAGAACGCACGCAAGGAGCCUGUCUAUAGCCUAAGCUAGCUAUGGGAUCGAUCAGCCGGAACAACGGAACGCACAGCGCCGGCGGUGAUGGUCCAAGUGUGGUCCGGAUAUGGCCACUAAUCGUGGUUAAUUCCAACAAGUUAUUUGGCCCCCUCCUGAUGGUUAACAAGUACCAUUGUAAGUAUUUAAACUCAUCUUUCCACCAUAGUGCAUAUACUGCCAUCUUUACUAUAUAAAUUGCAUGUUUUGAAAUAACCAUGCGUUCCUGCAUACCAUAUAACUUGAGAAACUCAAACGAUUGCAGGUUGGUGCUACCAAUUUUUGGAGCAACUCAAACGAUUUAUUCAAAUAUCCAGUCUGACUUCAUAAUCUCUUGAUGUCUUGGUAGUUCAGUUAAUUAUGUGCAGCGUUUUUUUCCUCGCUGAAAUUUCUAGAAACUGGUCGGUAACCAGCGUUUCUGUUACCCACCAAGAUGUCGUUCUCAGCCAAUUUUUUUAAUAAUUUGAAUUCGAAUUACGCAAACGAUCAUAUAGGUGCCCUACGUUAACUGGAACACAAGGCAAAGCUCAUCACAGCGGAAACAACUACCAUAUCCUUUCCUGAUGGUUGCAGGAUUGAGAUCUCCUUCAGGUACUUCUAUUUUUUGGUGUCUUACUCUUGCUCUGCCGGUGCCAAAAUGGAAAAAGGGCGGCUGAGAGAAUGAAUUCCACGACCUCAGCAGGACGUGCAUCGUGACCAAACCACUGGAACAAGCGCAAGUUCGUGUGCAUUCUAGAUAAAUUGCUGUAUAUUUUGGGACAAGAAAAUUUCAAAUCAAAAUUCGUUUGAACAAUUUCGGACAGAAAAACCCUGAAAUUUCCGAGAUUUUCGGAAACCGAGUCUUCCAGCCUCUACCGAGAGAAAAACGGGAUCGAGACAAAAAACUUGGUUAUGUGUUCUCAAAUGUGGUAAUUAUCACGGCUGAUCAGCACCAAUCUGCCAUCAACUCGCUAAUAUUUCUUCUUUAUUUGCUAUUUCAGGGAGCCUUUAUAUUUAUAUUUUUUGCGACUGCAUGAUUCCUAUUUCCCCCUUUUUCCAACAUUUGUAUUCUGCUGCUGCCUAAGUCAUCCACAUGUUGGAGUGGGAUUAUUCGGCGCAUAUAUAUGGGGUUACAUUAUACGGAUGAGAAAAAAGGAAUUCUCUCAUAUCAUUGUCCAACAACAGGGAGUUUUUCUUUGCUCACCAUGGUUUUUUCUUUGUUCUUCACUAAGGAGAGUUUUGCUCAUGAGUAAGUUGGCGAAAAGUAUAUCCUCUGAAACCACAUAUCCAACUUAGUUCAGCUUAAAGAUGCUAAAUUACAUAUUUACGUUACGCCUCAAUAUGACAUUGCAGGUUAUGAGCUACCAAGGAUUUCUUUCUCCUAUGCCUUCUUUUUAUCAAAAGUUAUUUAAGUUCUCAGCGAAGUAUAAUUACCAGUGUUUCAGAUGAAGAGUGUUCUUUUAUUAAGUUUAAUUUUUCUAUGGGUAUACUCCUUUGAGUAAUUGUCCUAUUUGAACGCACAUGUUGUACGUAUUCUGUCAUUUGAAUGU